GAAAACAAUUUAUGGUGUUUUACACAUCAACCCUGCCGGGUUAAACCGGUGUUAUUUAAUUACUUUUUCGAAUUGUCGAAUUUUAACUUAGAACGUUGAUAAUAUCAUAUGCAUGUGUUUCUUAAGUAAUGAUUCAAUGAAUGAUGUUGCGAACCAACUGCACCUAAUACCAUACCUGAAAGUGAGAUUUUGAGCCAGUUGAGCAUUCAUUAUACUUAUGCUCUUUAUAUUUCUUGUUUGAG
rnacentral:lncRNA from 1 species